AUACGUAGGGUGCAAGCGUUGUCCGGAAUUAUUGGGCGUAAAGAGCUCGUAGGCGGUUUGUCGCGUCUGCUGUGAAAUCCCGAGGCUCAACCUCGGGCUUGCAGUGGGUACGGGCAGACUAGAGUGCGGUAGGGGAGAUUAGAAUUCCUGGUGUAGCGGUGGAAUGCGCAGAUAUCAGGAGGAACACCGAUGGCGAAGGCAGAUCUCUGGGCCGUAACUGACGCUGAGGAGCGAAAGCGUGGGGAGCAAACA
rnacentral:rRNA from 1 species